AAAUUUAAUAACUUCCGCUAACAGUUGCGCUUAAAUAAAGAAAAAAAAAAAAAAAGACUUUGAGGAAGUAUAAUUUUGUGAGGACCCCGUUGCAAGUUGUAGGUGCCUCUCAUCACUAAUCUCUCUCUCUCUCCACUGGCAUCGCAAUCGCAAUAAAUAAAUAAAUUAGAAGUCGAAUUGGAAUCAUCGUCACUCCAAACUUUGAUUUCAUUUUCCUCACUUUCUUUCGUUAUUCUCGAUC
rnacentral:lncRNA from 1 species